CGACAUUUAUUGUUCAUAAGUCGCUAGUAUUGCACUGCGAGUUAUUUAAAAAUUGUAUCGGUCUAUCAAAUACAACACCUAGUUUUACAGAUUUGGUUCUUAUGGGAAAUUUAUUCACAAUUUGUUAUGGUCGAGGAAGAUAACUUUUUUCUUUUUAUUUGGAAUAAAAAACAACAACCAAGCUGUUUAGGUACAUAUGUCUGUUGAAGUGGCAUACAAAGUAUGAAUUGAAUAUACAUAAGUAAAGGUAGGUUUGGGUUAAUGGUAAUUACGUAAUUAGUAAUACUAUAAAGGUUGUUUAGGUUAAUGUUAUUUAGGUAAUUAAAUUAGUAAUAUGUACUAAUGAAGGUUAGUAGGUACAUAUGUAUGUAGGUACAUAUGCAAACAUAUGUAUGUAUAAUGUAAGUUGGAGGCGUACCUAUUAGAUUUUUUAACUAUUUUAGUAUUUUGGCCGAUUCUUUGCUUUAAAACUGUCGAUUGAAGAAAAAAAGAUAUAAUCAUCCAUUUUGGAUCAUGUUACCAUUUACCAGUGCACUGUGCGUACAAAUAUAACAUACAAAUUUCUUCACGCAUUGUUAAAGUUUUUUAUAAACAUUUUAGUUUUACCAAUUAUUUUUCUAUUUUGUUUUUGCUUGUACGUAUUUUUUUGCUUUAGUUUGACGGUUGUUGUUUUGACUUUUAGCAGGUGAAGAUAUUUUUUUCUUAUUAACCCUUUUUGCCUUAUUUUUAUAAUUUUGUGUUGCACCAACCUUGAACACGACAUACAUAAUUAAAUUUAUCGAAGUGUUGUUUUAAUUAAAUGAAAUUAACAAAGGUAUCUAUAGAAGUUUUGAAAGUUAGCCUACUUUCGACAAAAUAUUUAUCUAGCUACCAAAUUGACAAAGACAAACUUCAUGCAACAUGUAUGUAAACAAAUCAUACAAACUGCAGCGCUUGUGACAUCGAGAUAACUUUACAAUAAUUCAAUCAACAUGUAUUUUCUUGAUUAAAGUUCUCGCUACGCGUGUGCUUCUUUAUUCAACCAACGCAUUUUUAAGCAUAGAAAAAAACCCGAUGUUCACCGACUGACGCACUACACUUGAUAUUCAUUUUCAAAGACUAAACAAAAAUUCAACCGUUCUGUAUCGGAAAAAAGACAAAUGUAACCCGUCUCUAAUGGAUUUAACGGACAUUUUCCAUUAUUUUCGGCAGAUGAAGUUUAACUAGCAAGUAAAUUGCGCAGUGGAAUAAUUUUUGGCAGAAAGUUACUGUAAUUUUAGUUAAGUGGCACGAGUAUCC